CUAAUAAUUCAGAAGGAUCCCUGGCUGGUGCUGCUGUCUGGGAUGUAUUCCGCAGGCAGGAUCUUCCAAAGCUUAAUGACUAUCUAGCUGUUCAUCGGGAAGAAUGUGCAGCUAGAUGUCAAGCAGUGUCUUCUGUUAAAUAUCCUAUUUAUGAUCAAACAGUGUACCUUAACGAUUAUCAUAAGAAGAUGUUGAAGGAUCAAUAUGAGGGACUGAAGACAAUCGAGCAGAUUACAAUGGACUCAGCUUCGGUCGAGACCAAUAUGUUCAAGCUCUGCAAGGUGAGGUCUGUUCAGUUUGGCCAAAAAGGCAUCCCCUACCUGAACACCUACAAUGGCCGCACCAUCCGCUACCCUGACUCGCUCAUCAAGGCCAACGACACCAUCAAGAUCGAUCUGGAGAUCAACAAGAUCAUGGACUUCAUCAAGUUUGACGUCGACAACGUGGUCAUGGUGACUGGCGGGAGGAACACCGGGCGUGUAGGAGUCAUCAAGAACAGGGAGAAGCACAAGGGCAACUUUGAGACCAUCCAUGUGCUGCUUGGAGCUUUUUGCUAUGUCUAGUUUUCUCCUAUUUGUUGUACAGGAAAACAUAGAAUAUAAUUCAAAUUUGGUGGUCGCAAAAGUGUGGAGACUUUAAUUCAUAUAAAGUUAGGCUUAACAUUAGUGCAAACAGUUGUAUUUUAGUUUAGAUUUAGAGUACACUUAUGUAUGCGUUGUUUGACAA